rnacentral:rRNA from 1 species
UACGUAGGGUGCAAGCGUUGUCCGGAAUUAUUGGGCGUAAAGAGCUCGUAGGCGGUCUGUCGCGUCUGCUGUGAAAACUCAGGGCUUAACCCUGAGCUUGCAGUGGGUACGGGCAGACUAGAGUGUGGUAGGGGAGACUGGAAUUCCUGGUGUAGCGGUGGAAUGCGCAGAUAUCAGGAGGAACACCGAUGGCGAAGGCAGGUCUCUGGGCCAUUACUGACACUGAGAAGCGGAAAGCAUGGGGAGCGAACAGG